rfam:Cricetulus griseus cell line CHO-K1, whole genome shotgun sequence.
ACUGGGUGUUGGUGGUGCACACCUUUAAUCCCAGCACUCAGGGAGGCAGAGGUAGGCGGGUCUCUGUGAGUUUGAGGCCAGCCUGGACUCCAGAGCCAGUGCCAGGAUAGGCUCCAAAGCUACACAGAGAAACCCUGUCUUGAAAAAAAAGAUUGCAAGGAGGAAUAUAAAACCAAAAUAGCUCUGGAACUUUUUUUUUUUUUUUUGGUUUUUCCAGACAGGGUUUCUCUGUGUAGCUUUGGAGCCUAUCCUGGCACUGGCUCUGGAGUCCAGGCUGGCCUCAAACUCACAGAGAUCCGCCUGCUUCUG